GAUGCCUUUAACCGGGUGUCGGGGGCGGACGGCACGUUUACUUUGAACAAAUUUGAGUGCUCAAAGCAGGCUUAUGCCUGAAAAUUCUUGCAUGGAAUAAUGGAAUAGGACUUCGGUUCUAUUUUGUUGGUUUUCGGAUCCGAAGUAAUGGUUAAGAGGGACAGACGGGGGCAUUUGUAUGGCGGUGUUAGAGGUGAAAUUCUUGGAUCGCCGCCAGACAAACUACAGCGAAAGCAUUUGCCAAGGAUGUUUUCAUUGAUCUGGAGCGAAAGUCAG
rnacentral:rRNA from 1 species